GACGAACGCUGGCGGCGUGCUUAACACAUGCAAGUCGAACGGAAAGGCCCUGCUUUUGUGGGGUGCUCGAGUGGCGAACGGGUGAGUAACACGUGAGUAACCUGCCCUUGACUUUGGGAUAACUUCAGGAAACUGGGGCUAAUACCGGAUAGGAGCUCCUGCUGCAUGGUGGGGGUUGGAAAGUUUCGGCGGUUGGGGAUGGACGCGCGGGUGAUGAGCUUGUUGGGGGGGUAGUGGCUUACCAAGGGUUUGACGGGUAGCCGGCAUGAGAGGGUGGCCGGCCCCAUUGGGACUGAGGUACGGCCCAGACUCCUACGGGAGGCAGCAGUGGGGAAUAUUGCACAAUGGGCCGAAGCCUGAUGCAGCAGCGCCGCGUGCGGAAUGCCGGGUUUCGGGUUGUGAACCGCUUUCGCCUGUGACGCAGCGUGAGUGACGGUAAUGGGUAAAGAAGCACCGGCUAACUACGUG
rnacentral:rRNA from 1 species